rnacentral:rRNA from 1 species
AUUGAACGCUGGCGGCAUGCUUUACACAUGCAAGUCGAACGGUAACAGGGAGCUUGCUCCGCUGACGAGUGGCGAACGGGUGAGUAAUGCAUCGGAACGUGCCGUGUAAUGGGGGGUUAACGUAGCGAAAGUUACGCUAAUACCGCAUACGCCCUGAGGGGGAAAUGGGGGACCGCAAGGCCUCACGUUAUACGAGCGGCCGAUGUCGGAUUAGCUAGUUGGUGGGGUAAAGGCCUACCAAGGCGACGAUCCGUAGCGGGUCUGAGAGGAUGAUCCGCCACACUGGGACUGAGACACGGCCCAGACUCCUACGGGAGGCAGCAGUGGGGAAUUUUGGACAAUGGGGGCAACCCUGAUCCAGCCAUGCCGCGUGAGUGAAGAAGG